rnacentral:rRNA from 1 species
CCUACGGGACGCAGCAGUGAGGAAUAUUGGUCAAUGGGCGCGAGCCUGAACCAGCCAAGUAGCGUGAAGGAUGACUGCCCUACGGGUUGUAAACUUCUUUUAUAAAGGAAUAAAGUGAGGCACGUGUGCCUUUUUGUAUGUACUUUAUGAAUAAGGAUCGGCUAACUCCGUGCCAGCAGCCGCGGUAACACGGAGGAUGCGAGCGUUAUCCGGAUUUAUUGGGUUUAAAGGGUGCGUAGGCGGGCUUUUAAGUCAGCGGUAAAAAUUCGGGGCUCAACCCCGUCCGGUCGUUGAAACUGGGGGCC